CGCAUCCUGGCCUGGAACCGCAGCAAGCAGCCGCAGUGUCAGCGCGUAGGCCAUGGCACCUACGAUAACGCCGGUAGCAAUACCCGUAACGCCGUGCAGUGCCUGGGUGACCAGGAGUGCCGCGACACCACAGACUAUCGCGGCCAAUGCGACCUUGAGCACGACCAUGAUCAAUUCGCCGGCGCCGCUCUGCAGCCUUACGCGAGAGAGCAGGAGCGCGGCCAUGGCCAGAAAGACCACCCCUUAUGACCUGGGCUACACACGUGCUACAAUGGACGGUACAAAGGGCAGCAAAACCGCGAGGUCGAGCCAAUCCCAUAAAACCGUUCUCAGUUCGGAUUGCAGGCUGCAACUCGCCUGCAUGAAGCCGGAAUCGCUAGUAAUCGCGGAUCAGCAUGCCGCGGUGAAUACGUUCCCGGGCCUUGUACAC
rnacentral:rRNA from 1 species